rnacentral:rRNA from 1 species
ACUCAAAUGAAUAGACGGGGGCCCGCACAAGCAGUGGAGUAUGUGGUUUAAUUCGAAGCAACGCGAAAAACCUUACCAGGUCUUGACAUCGAGUGAAACGCCUAGAGAUAGGCGCCUCCUUCGGGACACAAAGACAGGUGGUGCAUGGUUGUCGUCAGCUCGUGUCGUGAGAUGUUGGGUUAAGUCCCGCAACGAGCGCAACCCUUACUGUUAGUUGCUACGCAAGAGCACUCUAGCAGGACUGCCGUUGACAAAACGGAGGAAGGUGGGGAUGACGUCAAAUCAUCAUGCCCUUUAUGACCUGGGCUACACACGUACUACAAUGGCCGUUAACAACGGGAAGCGAAGGAGCGAUCCGGAGCAAAUCCCCAAAAGCGGUCUCAGUUCGGAUUGCAGGCUGAAACCCGCCUGUAUGAAGUCGGAAUUGCUAGUAAUCGCAGAUCAGCAUGCUGCGGUGAAUACGUUCCCGGGCCUUGCACACACCGCCCGU